GAGUUUGAUCUUGGCUCAGAUUGAACGCUGGCGGCAGGCCUAACACAUGCAAGUCGAGCGGAUGACGGGAGCUUGCUCCUUGAUUCAGCGGCGGACGGGUGAGUAAUGCCUAGGAAUCUGCCUGGUAGUGGGGGACAACGUUUCGAAAGGAACGCUAAUACCGCAUACGUCCUACGGGAGAAAGCAGGGGACCUUCGGGCCUUGCGCUAUCAGAUGAGCCUAGGUCGGAUUAGCUAGUUGGUGGGGUAAUGGCUCACCAAGGCGACGAUCCGUAACUGGUCUGAGAGGAUGAUCAGUCACACUGGAACUGAGACACGGUCCAGACUCCUACGGGAGGCAGCAGUGGGGAAUAUUGGACAAUGGGCGAAAGCCUGAUCCAGCCAUGCCGCGUGUGUGAAGAAGGUCUUCGGAUUGUAAAGCACUUUAAGUUGGGAGGAAGGGCAGUAAGUUAAUACCUUGCUGUUUUGACGUUACCGACAGAAUAAGCACCGGCUAACUCUGUGCCAGCCGCCGA
rnacentral:rRNA from 1 species